GAAAAUAAUUCAUAUAUACUUGAGAAAAUAAAACUGUAACAGUAAGAAACGUUUUGCAUGCACCGUGCACGAUUCAAAGCUACGUCAAGAGUUGUCUGACCGCAAUAUUAAAUGAUAAUGUAUGUACAUCAAAUGGCAACGAGCAGAGAUUUCAACUAGAAAUUGUUAUGGAAUUGGUGCCAAUUGAAUCGAGAAGAGGCGACCACCUGCAGAGGUGAAGAGCUACAACCCGCACAGCGGCGACAAGGUGUUUGCCACUAUUCCCAUUCCUAACUACAAGUUAACUAACGUACAACUAUAGUACACCAGUGGAGUACGUCAACAAAUUUAGGCGGUAGUAUCAAGUAUUUUUGACUGAUUUUGAUGAUGAUUGAACUUCGAUGGUACAAUUAAACAUAAUAGAGUUUGUUUGAGCGUCAAAGGAGUCUAUAACACUUAUUAAACAAGUGCCAUCGUUGACCUCACCACAAGCCGUGCUGCAAGACAAACGUCAUGAAUGCCGCCACAUAAUCGUCCGCUUUUGCAUAAGAAAGUAAAGAUAAACACACAAUAUUGAAUUACAGGAUGAGAGGUUCCACCCUGUAUAUACAACUUACGACGAUACAUACAUGUUUGAGGUUGGCAACCAUGCAAUUUCUACGUGGGGAAAAGCCGCCUCCUCCAUCUAGAAAGCACGAACAGGGGUUACG